AUGACUGACAUACAAAACCUGUCGCAGUUACUAGAACGUAAUUAAAUAUAGGAUCUGUUCGUCUCACCAGAGUAUAAUACUCGGGGACAACACGACCACACGAGAAGAUCGACCUACAGACGGUAUAUACAAAAAAUGGCGACAGAUGACGUAGAUGUGAUGAAGAUCGGAGACGGUGAAAGGAGAGUCCGGAUUGUACACUUGUCCGAUACACACCUGUACCACGACCGGAGGUACCUACCACGACUUCCGGCCGGGGACGUGCUUGUCCAUUCUGGAGAUUUCUGCACCACAGACUGGUCACGCCUAGUCAAAACACCGGACUACGAUGGACAUAUCCAGCAAAUCAACGAGUUCUUCGGUAAAGUGCCUCACAAACAUAAGAUAUUUGUUGGUGGUAACCACGACAUGGCGAUCGCGGGCAGACGACAGGAAGAAAUUCAGCAGAGUCUUCCCCAAGUGACUUAUCUACAAGAUUCAGGUGUCAAUAUUGAGGGGAUUAAUUUUUACGGAUCGCCUUGGACGGCUUACAAAUGGACCUCUUAUAACCGAGCUUUCGUCCGAAAGUGGGGCAAGUUCGAACACCAUUGGGAUGCUAUUCCAAACGAAACUGAUGUAUUGGUGACGCACAUGCCCCCACAUGGUAUACGGGAUAUGGGCAGAGAGGGUUUUUCGCUUUUCGGGAGGAACAGGAGGGGUGCGUGCGAUGUCUGCUCUCUUACUCACGAUGGAAUGUGUCACCUUGGAUGUCCAAAACUCCGGAACACUGUAUUAAACAGAGUAAGACCCAAACUCCAUUGUUUCGGCCACAUGCACGGAAGUGCGGGACACCAGCAGAUCGAUGACACAACAUUCUCAAACGCCGCUCUCAAUAUUCAUGUGUUUGACUAUUAUGUAUGAUGGGCAUGACUAAGAACCACUUGUCAUGGGCGCGGCGGACGGACGCGUGUAAUGGGACACAUGUUAUAUAAAGUACGUGGCUGAGGUCUGCAUGUGAUGAGUAGCAUGGUUUCACAUGUACAUGUGAUGGACAGGUACCGCGUAAUUAGACACGUGGUCCCAAGGCGGAUACUACGUCAGUGUAAUGCGAGGCGUGGUUCCACCUUGUAAUUACAGAGUUGUGGGAACACAUGUGAUGGGCAUUACUGGAUACGUGUGGUGGGCAUGACUGGAUACGACGUGUGGUGGACAAGGAUAUGUACCACGUAUGGUGGACAAGGUUAUAUACCACGUGUGGUGGGCGUGACUGGAUACGACGUAUGGUGGGCAAGG
rnacentral:misc_RNA from 1 species